rnacentral:misc_RNA from 1 species
UGUAUGAGUUGUGWUUGGGWUGUUCUUGCUGGCUGGCUCCAUGCUUUUGCAUCGAACGGUUGGCAUGCAACUCCGUUUCAAGGACACCUCGCUCAUAGAUGCGGUGGUGCGCGGUCCCGGUUCCUGUGUUGCCUACCUCUUGAAUGGUAUUCGUGUGGCUUGUUGGAUUUUGUCCGCCCGGUUCUCCCCCUGGGGGUGCUGGGGGACUUCGAAGUGAUGCUUGUGUUCCACGUUAGUUGUUCGUUACUGCAGCAAUCAACCGUGGUGCAUAUGUAUUUGCUGCUCUCUCGGAUGCGGUGCAUGAGAUGAAACACGGGAAAUCUUCCCAUUCAGUCCCUCAAAUCUCGGUUGCCUUGAACGACACUUGCCUUCGUGCCCUGCUUGCUCUCCACCCGUGGUUGCAUGCAGGCACCGAUGAGCAAAGUUGUUAACGGAUG